AUGAACGCUGGCGGCGUGCCUAAUCCAUGCAAGUCGUGCGAACAGACGAGGAGCUUGCUCCUCUGACGUUAGCGGCGGACGGGUGAGUAACACGUGGAUAACCUACCUAUAAGACUGGGAUAACUUCGGGAAACCGGAGCUAAUACCGGAUAAUAUAUUGAACCGCAUGGUUCAAUAGUGAAAGACGGUUUUGCUGUCACUUAUAGAUGGAUCCGCGCCGCAUUAGCUAGUUGGUAAGGUAACGGCUUACCAAGGCAACGAUGCGUAGCCGACCUGAGAGGGUGAUCGGCCACACUGGAACUGAGACACGGUCCAGACUCCUACGGGAGGCAGCAGUAGGGAAUCUUCCGCAAUGGGCGAAAGCCUGACGGAGCAACGCCGCGUGAGUGAUGAAGGUCUUCGGAUCGUAAAACUCUGUUAUUAGGGAAGAACAAAUGUGUAAGUAACUAUGCACGUCUUGACGGUACCUAAUCAGAAAGCCACGGCUAACUACGUG
rnacentral:rRNA from 1 species